GACGAACGCUGGCGGCGUGCCUAAUACAUGCAAGUCGAGCGAAUCAAUAGGAGCUUGCUCCUGUUGGUUAGCGGCGGACGGGUGAGUAACACGUGGGCAACCUGCCUGUAAGACUGGGAUAACACCGGGAAACCGGUGCUAAUACCGGAUAAUCCUUUUCCUCACAUGAGGGAAAGCUGAAAGUCGGUUUCGGCUGACACUUACAGAUGGGCCCGCGGCGAAUUAGCUAGUUGGUGAGGUAACGGCCCACCAAGGCGACGAUGCGUAGCCGACCUGAGAGGGUGAUCGGCCACACUGGGACUGAGACACGGCCCAGACUCCUACGGGAGGCAGCAGUAGGGAAUCUUCCACAAUGGACGAAAGUCUGAUGGAGCAACGCCGCGUGAGCGAUGAAGGCCUUCGGGUCGUAAAGCUCUGUUGUUAGGGAAGAACAAGUACCGGAGUAACUGCCGGUACCUUGACGGUACCUAACCAGAAAGCCACGGCUAACUACGUGCCAGCAGCCGCAGUAAUAC
rnacentral:rRNA from 1 species